CCUGCGGGUGGCAGCAGUGGGGAAUAUUGGACAAUGGGGGCAACCCUGAUCCAGCCAUGCCGCGUGUGUGAAGAAGGCCCUCGGGUUGUAAAGCACUUUCAGUGAGGAAGAACGCCUGGUGGUUAAUACCCAUCAGGAAAGACAUCACUCACAGAAGAAGCACCGGCUAACUCCGUGCCAGCAGCCGCGGUAAUACGGAGGGUGCGAGCGUUAAUCGGAAUUACUGGGCGUAAAGCGCGCGUAGGUGGCUUGAUAAGCCGGUUGUGAAAGCCCCGGGCUCAACCUGGGAACGGCAUCCGGAACUGUCAAGCUAGAGUGCAGGAGAGGAAGGUAGAAUUCCCGGUGUAGCGGUGAAAUGCGUAGAGAUCGGGAGGAAUACCAGUGGCGAAGGCGGCCUUCUGGACUGACACUGACACUGAGGUGCGAAAGCGUGGGUAGCAAACAGGAUUAGAUACCCCAGUAGUC
rnacentral:rRNA from 1 species